GACGAACGCUGGCGGCGUGCCUAAUACAUGCAAGUAGAACGCUGAAGGAGGAGCUUGCUUCUCUGGAUGAGUUGCGAACGGGUGAGUAACGCGUAGGUAACCUGCCUGGUAGCGGGGGAUAACUAUUGGAAACGAUAGCUAAUACCGCAUAAUAGUAGAUGUUGCAUGACAUUUGCUUAAAAGGUGCAAUUGCAUCACUACCAGAUGGACCUGCGUUGUAUUAGCUAGUUGGUGGGGUAACGGCUCACCAAGGCGACGAUACAUAGCCGACCUGAGAGGGUGAUCGGCCACACUGGGACUGAGACACGGCCCAGAACCCUACGGGAGGCAGCAGUAGGGAAUCUUCGGCAAUGGACGGAAGUCUGACCGAGCAACGCCGCGGGAGUGAAGAAGGGUGUCGGAUCGUAAAGCUCUGUUGUAAGAGAAGAAAGAGUGUGAGAGUGGAAAGUUCACACUGUGACGGUAUCUUACCAGAAAGGGACGGCUAACUACGUG
rnacentral:rRNA from 1 species